CGUAACAGCCUCAGGACGAGGCACAAGGGUGUGGACCUUUACUGGACUGUGGCAAUCAGGUUGAGAGAAGAUAAGGAGAAAAAUAAAAAAAAACAACUCUCUGGUCCACCCCAGAAGUCAUCACGGUAUGCUAAUGAGCUGAGGGGGGGCAACCUUUUAAGUGCUGGAGCCCAACAGACUGAGCAGUUAGGAGACAUGGACCAGACGUGAACACUUGUAAUGAAGACGUCUAAUGACAAGGUGCAAACAGAUUCCAGACGAGCUGCUUGGCUGUUCUGUCUUGUGCCCUGGACAGGAUAUCAUCUUAUACUGUAAGUUUUUUAAAGAGACACUACAGUAUAGAUGAUGUACUAUCCAGGGUAUCAUUCCACCUCCGCCGGCGCCGGAGGAGACUCGGACUGAAACGUCAGGGGGCCGAACACACAGCCGAGGGGGGCAGUUAAACCGUUACCAUUACUGAGUUUUAGUAAUGGUAAGGGUUCUACGGCCUUCGCUCAAUGACGACGAAGGAAAGGACGAGCUGGAGCAUUGUCACAUUUAAACCAAUAAUGUCAAAUAAAAAUGAUGGUUGUCUCCCUUA